GUCUACGGCCAUGCCACCCUGUACAAGCACAAUCCUGUCUGAUCUCGGAAGCUAAGCAGGGUCAGGCCUGGUUAGUACUUGGAUGGGAGACCACCUAAGAAGACCAGAUGCUGUAGGCG
rfam:Pteropus alecto contig67571, whole genome shotgun sequence.